UUUUGUGAUUAAAAUGUGCUGAGCUGCUGAAUAGAGGAGCCUGUUUAUUCAUUUGGAGAAAGCCAUCUGCAUGCAGAGGAGUAACGUUAGAUGAAGUACUGAAAAGGGACAAUUGUGGAUCACAUCCUGCUGGGACUGGACAUAAUGGGCCCAGUGUUGAACAGCUUUCUCUGGGCAUUCUGUCAACUGGCUGCCGUGAGGAAUUAUUUGUGGAAAUUAGAGUUUGAGUGAAG